UCCUGGUUAGCUCAGUCGGUAGAACGCUCCAUUGGAAACGGAGAGGUACCUGGCUCGACACCAAGACCAGGCG
rnacentral:tRNA from 1 species